CCUGUUUACCAAAAACAUCACCUCUAGCAUUAUCAGUAUUAGAGGCACUGCCUGCCCAGUGACAUUAGUUAAACGGCCGCGGUAUCCUGACCGUGCAAAGGUAGCAUAAUCAUUUGUUCCUUAAUUAGGGACUUGUAUGAAUGGCCUCACGAGGGUUUAACUGUCUCUUACUUUUAAUCAGUGAAAUUGACCUUCCCGUGAAGAGGCGGGAAUACUAAAAUAAGACGAGAAGACCCUAUGGAGCUUAAAUUAAAUUAUCCAACAAACCUAACUUAAAUCCAACAGGAAUAAUUAAACUUUAACUGGAUAAUAAAUUUUGGUUGGGGUGACCUCGGAGCAUAACUUAACCUCCGAGCAGUUAAAACUCAGACUUACCCGUCAAAGUGGAACUAUUAAUUGAUCCAAUCUUAUUGAUCAACGGAACAAGUUACCCUAGGGAUAACAGCGCAAUCCUAUUUAAGAGUCCAUAUCGACAAUAGGGUUUACGACCUCGAUGUUGGAUCAGGACAUCCUAAUGGUGCAGCAGCUAUUAAAGGUUCGUUUGUUCAACGAUUAAAG
rnacentral:rRNA from 1 species